UACGUAGGGUGCGAGCGUUGUCCGGAAUUACUGGGCGUAAAGAGCUCGUAGGUGGUUUGUCGCGUUGUUCGUGAAAACUCACAACUCAAUUGUGGGCGUGCGGGCGAUACGGGCAGACUGGAGUACUGCAGGGGAGACUGGAAUUCCUGGUGUAGCGGUGGAAUGCGCAGAUAUCGGGAGGAACACCCGUAGCGAAGGCGGCACUCUGGGCCGGAACUGACGCUGAGGAGCGAAAGCGUGGGGAGCAAACAGG
rnacentral:rRNA from 1 species